ensembl:lncRNA
UUACUUUUGUAGAAGCCUGAACCCCCUCAUACGUGGGGGUACAUACAUAUCUCCUUUUCAGUUGGAGUGUAUGUCAUGGUUUUGUAACUUUGCUAUUGGUAUUCCACAUCAUAACAUCAUGGCCAAAAGAGAAGAACUACGUAUCCCAGAGGACCUCACGGUCAGAGAAGGAAGAUACAUCACGGAAGAUACGUCAUCUGGUUGUGCGUGGUCUUUUUCACUUUUCGCUUGCUGCCAGGGAGAGGAGUGGGUGUGUGCUUUCCAAGCCAUGCGCCUUCAUCAAGUUAGAGGCUGAUCUUCUAGAGAGGAGCUCUGUGGAGAAGGACUUGAAUAUCCUAGUGGACAGCAGGUUGACCAUGAGCCAGAAGUGUGCCCCUGUGGCCAAGAAGGUCAAAGAUAUCCUGGGGAACAAUAAAAGAAGUGUGGCCAGAAGGUUGAGGGAAAUGAUCCUCCCACUCUACCCUGCCGCGCAGAGUGCACGUCUGGACUACUGCAUCCAUUUCUGGGCUCCUCAGUUCAAGAAAGACAGUGAACUUCUAGACAGAGUCCAGCAGAGAACCACAACAAUAUUUAGUGGCCUGGAACAUCUCUCUUGUGAGGAAAGUUGUUGCAAUUGGACUGAAGCGAUUGCUGAUAGGAGAACAGACUGACAGAAGAACUCACUGAGAGCAGCUCUGUGGAGAAGGACUCGGGGGUCCUGAUGAAUGAAAAGCUGGACACAAGCUAUCAGUGUGCACUUGCAGCCCAGAAAGACAACUAUAUCCUGGGCUGUAUCAAAAGAGGAGUGAGCCAGCAGAGUGAGGGAGAGGAUUGUCCCCCUCUACUCUGCCUUUGUGAUGUCCCACCUGGAGUACUGUGUGCAUGCCUGGGGCCCCUACUACAAGAACAAUGGGGGGCUGUUGGCGUGGGUCCAGAGAAUGGCCAUUGAGAUGAUCAGAGGCCUGGAGCACCCGUCCUGUGAAGAAAGGUUGAGGGAGUGGGGCUUGUUUAGCUUGGGGAAGAGAGGACUAUGGGGAGAUCUCAUUACGGUCUUCCAGUACCUGAAGGGAGCUAACAAGCAGUCUUCUUUCACAGUCUGAUAGUGACAAGACAAGGGGGAAUGCCUAGAAACUAAAUGAGAGUAGAUUUAGGUUAGCUUAUAGGAAGAAAUUUUUUACUCAGAGGAUUGUGAAGUGUUGGAAACAUAUGUUGCCCAGAAGGGUUAUGGAUGCCCCAUCCCUGGAGGUAUUGAAGGCCAGAUUGGCUACCGCCCUGGGUAACCUUAACUGGUGGCUGGCAGGGUUGUCAACCUAAGCCAUUCCAUGAUUCUAUGAUCCUAUGAAAGGCCAAGAGACCUUGGACUAUUAAGCCUGAAUAAGAGAAGACUGAGGGAGGAUCUUAUCAAUGCUUUAAAUAUCUACAGGGCAGGAGUCAAGUGGAUGGGGCCAGGCUCCUUUUGGCAAUGCCCAGUGACAGGACAAUGGGCAAUGGGCACAGACUAAAACACAGGAAGUUCCAUCUGAACAUGAGAAAAAACAACUUUUUUUGGAGGGUGACAGAGCACUGGAAAAGCUGCCCAGAGAAGUUUUGGAGCCUCCUUUUAUAGAGAUACUCAGAAGUCUCCCAAAUGCUUUCCUGUGUAAUUACCUCUAGGCAACAUGCUUUAGCGGAGGUGUUGGUCUAGAUUAUCUCCAAAGAUCCCUUCUAACCCCUAUGGUUCUGUGAUUUUGAGAUUUUUAGGCAUUGGCAAAGUACUAAUAGUGAAGGACAAAUUUUCAUAGUGAGAAUUCUGGAAAGCUGGAGCAAAUUAUUGAGAAUGUAUUUUCUUUGUAUAAAAUAUUUAGAUGUCCCUUAUCUUUCAAAUCAUUGUUGCUUGACAGUCACUGUACAGUGAUUUAAAUAAAUAUGACAAACUGCGCUAUUACCCACACAGUAGGGAUAACACAGUUGGAGGUAUAAUUCCUCCAUCAUAUAUUCUAGCUCAAAGGUUGGUGUGCAGAAUUAACUCCAGUUACAUAUACAAAUCUGGAGCAUGACCUUGUGUGACUGAGGUGCAGGCUAUAUCAUUCUUUGAUUAUCCCUGCAUCAGAAAUAGUAACUUCAGGAAAUUCUGUAAGGUUGAGAGACAGCAAUGAUGACUUGUUUAACACUCAUAACAUUCAGCAGGGCUGGUCUGGAAGACCAUCAAAAUACAUAAAUAAGUGAUAACCUUCAAAAGAGAUGUUACGCAUUUCUGAACAUAAGGUAACAGGAUGUGUAACUAUAAAAUUCUUCUUGUUUAGGAUUGUGAGAGAUGAUACAGUUUUAGGUGCUGGAAUGAAAAGGCUUUGACAUAAGCAGAGAAUGAUUUUGAGGGAGAUAAGGUGUCUUUCACCUGUUUUUAUUAAACUGUGAAAUUAUUUACUAUUGUAUAUAGGAAAGACUGGUAGUGGGGGUGUGGUUUGUAUGGGUGGCAGAGGGAAAACCAAUUUCAGAGGGGAGGAAGCAGGAGGAGGCAGUCCAUGGCAGAGGAUACAGUCACUGUAGUCCAGGGAGAGCCCGCACUGGCACAGAUUUUUCCUGACAAGAGCUGAAAUCCUAACAAAAACUCAGAAGGGAAUAGAUUCCACAGCCCCCCCCCCCCCCCCUCCCCCCGCCAAGGAACUACAGCUUAUGGAUAACUGACUAACCCACAAUGGAACAGGGAAAAUGUGUUAGGAAAUUGGAAAUAAGUCUUGUUUAAUGCUUUUUUUUUUUUUUUUUUUUUUUUCCUGCUACCAGGGAAAGGUCACAAAGUUGAUCAGAGGGCUGGAACAUUUCCCCUGUAAGGACAGGCUGAGAAAGCUGAGGUUGUUCAGUCUGGAGAAGAGAGGAGGGCCUACAGAAAUUCUGGGGUGAGAUAUUUUAUAAGGGCGUGUAGCAACAGGAUGUAGGAAAAUGGCUAUAAAAUGGAAGAGAGUAGAUUUAGACUAGUCAUAAGGAAGAAUAUAAGAAAUUAUAAGGAAGAAGUUUUUCUCUGUGAGAGUAAUGAGACACUGGAACAGGUUGCUCAGAGACAUUGUGGGUGUCCCCUCCCAGGAGGUGUUCAAGGCCACGCUAGAUGGGGCUUUGAGCAACCUGGUCUAGCAGGAGGUGUCCUUGUCCAUGGCAAGGGUUAGAACAACACAUUCUCUAAGGUCCCUUCCAACACAUACCAUUCUGUGAUUCUAUGAAAAUUAGUAAUGACAUUUUUAUUUUACUUGGCAACAAAUUCACCACAUCAAGAUGUUUUGCCUGCAGUGGUAGUUAGAAAGCAAUCUACCUGUCUUAAUCUUGAUCCUUCUUGUUCUUUCUGCUUUCUAAUCCCAUCCUACUGCAGGAGGAAUUAAGUAAGCAGCUAAGUAAGCAUUUGGCUUUUAGCCAAGUCUAACCCAUCUUGUUGCUCUUAAGAAUUUCUGCCUUGUUCUUGCCUCCUAAAUAUUUAGUCAUCAGGUCCAGUUUCCACCUUGGACAUGUCAAUAUUCCUGCAAAGUACAACUAAUUUUGUAAGUAAGUGUAAAUAAGUUCAAAGUGAUCUUGAAAAUUUAAACUCAAAGGUACUUUUUUCUUUUUCUUUUUCUUUUUUAUUUUAAUAGCAGAUAGGCUAGGCUAUGCUCUAUGCUUGCCUAGAAGAUUUUAUCAGGAUUUAGAAACAUUAGAGACACUUCAACCCACUUUCUCCUCUUCCUUUUGUGACACACUUUAGUUUUUGUCACAUAUAAAAUGGAAUAAAAAUCAUCAAUAGUACUAAAAUGAAUGUCUGUCUAAGAAUUACCAUUUCUGAUGCAGUUGAUGUAGCACAUGUAAAAAGUAUAUUUUGCUUUGGUCUGAUGGAAAUGUGCAUCUGAUUUAGAAUAAUUUGUCUUGCUACUUGAGCAAACAAAAUGUAAUUAAGUUGCCUAUAACAGCUAAGAAUAAUAGCUUCUCAUUAAUAUUGUUACCUGGGUGUUAAAAAACCUAAAGCAAGGCAAAUGUAAUGAAUUUAGCAAGUUAACAGAAUUGCCUUUUUUUUUUUUUAAGCAAUCUUUUCAUGCCACUGUAUUUGAGAUGGUGUCAGCAUUGCUAUUAUAAAUAAUUUAAGCAUUUAUAACUCAGUAAGAGAAGAGCACUAGUUCAGUCACAUUCUAAAUGAGUUAUUUGCUCAAUAUGUCUUCAAGGCUUAAGGGAACAUAAGAUAAAACUUACAUUUUCCUCUAGGGGCAUUAGUAAUUAAGCUAGAUAUUCAACUUUAACCAGACAAUUAAAAAAGGUUCCUCAGUGCUACUUUGAAUGCAAAGUUUGUCUAAACAUGAUGUACUUACAUGCAGGAUAGGAUGAUUUUGGGAGGUAUUCCAAGAACAGAAACAGCAGUGACUAUCACUGCUUGUCAAAUAAUGAAUAAUAAGAGUUGUCCUGCAGAGGACAAGUGAGAGGUCAGAGGAAGAAGAUAGCUUUUUUUCUUUUGUUAACGGAUGGUGCAAAAAUUCUAUGUUACCAUUCGGAUGGAGAAAAUAUAAGAUAUUGUUCUAGGCCCCUUUCCAAAAAAGCACUUAUACUUUCAUUUGUGUGGUAGUGAACAGUCUUGCUGAUUUCAGCCACUUUUCACAUGGCUAAAUUGAAGCACACACUUACAGAACUGUUGGAUUGUUGCUGAGACAGAUGCAUACUUAGGAAGCAAAAGAGCAGUAAGGUUGAAAUUAGUAAUUCAGUCACAACACUAGCAUCAUUCUCAUGAUGCAUAAAAGCAUUAUUUUUCAACAUUCACUUCUCUUUCUGAAGGACUGGAAACAAAUAGCAGGUAAUAAUCAGAACAGUUUAAAUCUGCAGUUUAGUAAUUCAAAUCUUAUAUGAUAAUUUUUUGCAUUCUCACUCUUGUGCCAAAUUAAAAGUUUUGAAAUAGAAUUAAUGGAGUUAGAAUUCACAUGAGAAUUUGUUAAUUGCUGUGAUAAAAAUAAUGAGAUUGACAGGCUUGAGAACUGGGCCCUAAUGAGGUUCAACAAGGGCAAGUGUAAGGACUUGGGGGGUCCUGGUGGAUGAGAAGCUGGACAUGAGCCAAUAGUAUGCAUAUGCAGCCCAGAGGGCCAACUGUAUUCGGGGCUGCAUUAAAAAAGGAGUGGCCAGAAGGGAUAGGGAGGUAAUUGUCCCCUUCUACUCAGCUCUUGUGAGACUGCCUGAACCCAUCUUUGGCUUUGGCUUUGGCUCAAAGCUUGCUUUCUGAGGCAUUUCUUGUGAUAAGACUCUUACUUAUCUAGGAGAUGAGAGGUGCUGUGUGGCAGUGGGCAUCACUGUGUGGACUAUUUUACAUUUGAAAACAUUUCUUUGGAGCUGUUUGCCUUCUGAAGAGAAUGCUCAGGACUGUUUUCUGGCGGAAGAUCUGUCCUGUGACCAAAUAACUCCAGAUUGCUAUGGCAGACUGGGGGGAUGAUACCAUUGUAUCCUGUGAAGGCAAGAAAUAAGGGGGUGCCUCCCUGCUCCCUCUUGUCUGCUGGCAAGGCCCAGAAGAUGGGAACAAAAGGAGUUCCUGCUGUGAUCCAAAAGCCAGCAGCUGUCACUACAAAAGGAGCUGACUAGGCCACUUUGGACUUAUAAAUAAGCUUGUACUGACAUUGGAAAGAGUCGUUGUCAUCGUCGCUGUCAUUAUCGUCAAAUGAACAACAACCCCUGAUGACCCAUCACUACUGAAGAUCAACAUCUGAACUACGAGCAGUGCUGGAAUCCAUGGUGCUAGACAGAGGCCCCAUCUGGAGUACUGCAUCCAUGUGUGAGGCCCCCAGCACAAGAAAGACGCAGAGCUCUUGGAACAGGUCCAGAGGAGGACCACUAAGAUGAUCAGAGGGCUGGAGCACCUAUGAAGAAAAGUUGAGGGAACUGGGCUUGUUUAGCUUGGAGAAGAGAAGGCUCCAGGGAGACCUCCCUGUGGCCUUCCAGUACUUAAAGGGAGAGUAUAAACAGGAGGGGGUACAACUGUUUACAUGGGUCGAUAGUGACAUGACAAGGGCAAUAGUUUUAAACUAAUACAGGGGGACUUUAGGUUAAAUAUUAGGAGGAAGUUUUUCACUCAGAGGGUGGUGAUGCACUGGAACAGGUUGCCCAAGGAGGUAGUGGAUGCCCCAUCUCUGGAGGCAUUCAAGGCAAGGAUAAGUGUGCCUCUGGUCUAGUCAUUGGUGACCUUGCCCAUGGCAGGGGGGAUGAAGCUAGAUGAUCUUUGAGGUCUUUUUCAAUCUAGGCCGAUCUGUGAUUCUAUGUUUUGCAGUAGAUGAGCUACUGCUGGACAAUUUCUGCAUGUAUCAUUUUUAAAAGAAUUUACACUGAUUACAUCAGAACAUUCAGUCUUUCUUGACAGUCUUUUUUCUUGUUAUUGGCAGGGCAGUAAUUACUACAUAAAAAUAUGUAUGUAGGAACAGAGAACACUUUAAGAACUUUGUUAUGAGGUAAAUACUAGGCAAAAAAUAUAAAAGGAGAAUUUGUAAUGAGCACAUCCGAUAAUACACAAAAAGUAUAUUUUCUUCUUUUUUUUUCCUCCCUCUCCUAAUGAGGUUCUGAAUAAAAUCAUUUAAAAAUGAUCCUUCCUUUUGUGUUAAGAAAGAGAGCUUCUUCUAUCGCAUGUCCAUAUCACUUGAAGUACUACUCUAGGUAUUCAAAUGAUUCCAAUCCCUUGAAAUCAGCAUGAGCAGAUAGAAGGCAAACCUGAUGAAGAGCUCGUUAGGCAAUCUCAGAAAAGAUUUUGAAGUGAUAAACUAUUUUUGCUGUUUUCACAAAUUUUCAGGUAUAAAGUCCUAGGUUCUGUUUCACAUGGAGCAGACAAAUCACCUGGGAAGCUGAUGCCCUUUGAUGAAGAGAAAGCCUCUAAGACUUUCUUUAACUCUGCAUCAAUUCAUAGGAAAGAAGUUUUGGAACCAUGGCUCAUAGAGCUUUUAACCUUUUGUGGAGACUGCCUGAUGAGGUUCUGCACAGAUGCCUUUAUGGAAUGAGAGAAGUUCUAUGAGAGAGAGAAGAACAUUUCAGCUUCUUGUGCUGCCCUGCCAGUGAGGAGACGGGGGGUGCAAAGAAGCUGAGGUGGGACAGAACCAGGACAGCUGACCCAAAAUGUCCAAAGGAAUAUCCUAUACCAUAUGACAUAGUUCUGACAAUAAAACUGGGAGACUGAGUGAGCUGUGUCAUGCUGAGCUGCCUGCCAGGGUUAAACCACAGCAGUAGUGCACCCAACAGAGGACUGGAAGAGUUUGAGAUUAUGACAGAUUUGACUGGAGUAUGGAGCGUGCUACACCAAAUGCAUAGUUGUUAUACUCUUCAGCUGCUAAUUGGUAUGCUCCCACAGUUUUCCUGGGUCUUGCUUGCCUUACUGUAUUUUGGAGUCUACUAUCUGUUAGUGGAUGCUUUUGCUCUGUCUUCCCUCUCCACUUUCUACUUUCCACUCUCCCCUCUCCUCAGAAAACAAACAAACAAUAAUAGUAAUAAUAAUAGUAAUAGUAAUAAAACAAAACAAACAAACAAAACAAAACAAAACAAAAAAACCCGGAGGUUUUUAAUCAGUAGAUGGCAGUAAGAGCUAGCAAGAAGCCUGAAAGGGAGUCUCACAGACCUACACAUUAAUCAUACAUAUAGCAAAUUCCACAAAGUACAAGCCGACAAAGACCCUGCUUUACCACAAUCAAUCUUUAUUCACCACUAGAUUACAGUGGUUAGAUAUAUUUGAUUGCCACAGGUCCAAGAAAAAGCUUAUAAAUAACUAUAAAUGUAAUCGGCUUAAAUUUUUGCCAUUGUAUUUUUUGGUUUUAUUUUUGUUGUAGGCUGAGAUUGGGGUGCAAUCUGUUUAUCCUUAGAUUUGUUGUAUGACCACCCAGUCCAUCUGUCACCUUGACUUUGAAGCUGUAAUUUUAAUGUUUGGCUCUGUAAAUGUUUAAAGCAUCAUUACAAAUUUACAAAGGGAAAGAUACUGCUAACGGUGCAGCUGAAAUAAGACUGUCUCAGCUCACUUGUCUUUACUCCAAGACUUUCACUGCUGUGUGCCUGUGUUUUAAGCUGAAAUGAUAUCACAACAGUGAAGUAAUGCUGCAUUGUACUGCAGGAUCCAUUUUGGACAGCUCUAUUCUCUAGCCUGCAUUGCUUUUUCAAAAAGUCACAAUGUACAAUGGAUGUUCUCUUUAUUCACUUGUGAAAGGGACAGACUGGUGACUUGUUGGCAAUUUGGUGCCAACCAGGAUGCCAAGACUUCCACUGCUUCCAGCACUUCCAGCAACUCAAAGCUGCUUUGCAUUCAGUUCAUCCCCAGUCUGUACCAGUACAUGAAGUAACACUCCCAGGAAUGGGCUAGGAGUGCUCAAGAGACUGGGGAGAGGACACAGCUGGGACAGGUGACCCAAAAUUACCAAAGAAAUGUUCCAGAACAUAUGACAUCAUGCUCUGUAUUAAAACUUUGAGAGAGGUGAAGAGCAUUUCCGCAGUAACUUGUUCAGGAACUGGAUGAAUAUUGGUCUGCUGAUAGUAUUCAAAGGCUUUUGCAUCACUUUUUUUUUUUUUUUUUUUUUUUUUUAAACCACAAGUUUUCUCACUACGACCUUUACAGUUCUCUUUUCCAAAUCCCAUCCUAUGGAGGAGGAUGGGCAGAAGUGAGAAAAUUAUCCAUAGUGCUUAACUGCCUGCUGGGCUUAACUCAUCACAGUCACUCAGCAAGUCAUUUUGUUGUAGAAAGACACCAGUUUGAUUAUGCAUGAUUUCCUUUUUGUCAGUGCUGAUUGAUCCCAAUUACUGUCUUGCUCUUGAUAUGCUUG